rnacentral:tRNA from 3 species
UUGGUAGAGCAUCGGUCUCCAAAACCGAGUGUCGGGAGUUCGAGCCUCUCUUCCCGUG